rnacentral:rRNA from 1 species
UACGUAGGGUGCAAGCGUUAAUCGGAAUUACUGGGCGUAAAGCGUGCGCAGGCGGUUAUGCAAGACAGAGGUGAAAUCCCCGGGCUCAACCUGGGAACUGCCUUUGUGACUGCAUAGCUAGAGUACGGUAGAGGAAAGCGGAAUUUCCGGUGUAGCAGUGAAAUGCGUAGAUAUCGGAAGGAACAUCAGUGGCGAAGGCGGCUUUCUGGACAGAGACUGACACUGAGGCACGAAAGCGUGGGGAGCAAACAGG